rnacentral:rRNA from 1 species
AUUGAACGCUGGCGGCAGGCCUAACACAUGCAAGUCGAACGGUAACAGGAAGAAGCUUGCUUCUUUGCUGACGAGUGGCGGACGGGUGAGUAAUGUCUGGGAAACUGCCUGAUGGAGGGGGAUAACUACUGGAAACGGUAGCUAAUACCGCAUAACGUCGCAAGACCAAAGAGGGGGACCUUCGGGCCUCUUGCCAUCGGAUGUGCCCAGAUGGGAUUAGCUAGUAGGUGGUGUAACGGCUCACCUAGGCGACGAUCCCUAGCUGGUCUGAGAGGAUGACCAGCCACACUGGAACUGAGACACGGUCCAGACUCCUACGGGAGGCAGCAGUGGGGAAUAUUGCACAAUGGGCGCAAGCCUGAUGCAGCCAUGCCGCGUGUAUGAAGAAGGCCUUCGGGUUGUAAAGUACUUUCAGCGGGGAGGAAGGGAGUAAAGUUAAUACCUUUGCUCAUUGACGUUACCCGCAGAAGAAGCACCGGCUAACUCCGUG